GACGAACGCUGGCGGCGUGCUUAACACAUGCAAGUCGAACGGAAAGGCCCUGCUUUUGUGGGGUGCUCGAGUGGCGAACGGGUGUGUAACACGUGAGUAACCUGUCCUUGACUUUGGGAUAACUUCAGGAAACUGGGGCUAAUACCGGAUAGGAGUUCCUGCUGCAUGGAUGGGGAUGGAAAGUUUCGGCGGUUGGGGAUGGGCUUGCGGCUUAUCAGCUUGUUGGGGGGGUAGCGGCUUACCAAGGCUUUGACGGGUAGCCGGCCUGAGAGGGUGACCGGCCACAAUGGGACCGGGGUACGGCCCAGACUCCUACGGGGAGGAAGCAGGGGGAAUAUUGGACAAUGGGCGCGAGCGUGAUGCAGCGACGCCGCGUGUGGGAGAACGGCUUUCGGGUUGUGAACCGCUUUCGCCGGUGACGAGGCGUGAGUGACGGUAAUGGGUGAAGAAGCACCGGCUAACUACGUG
rnacentral:rRNA from 1 species